UACAGAGGUCCCAAGCGUUGUUCGGAUUCACUGGGCGUAAAGCGUGCGCAGGCGGUUCGUUGUGUCGGUGGUGAAAGCCCCGGGCUUAACCUGGGAAUGGCCAUGGAAACUGGCGAACUGGAGUGUGGCAGAGGGGGGUGGAAUUCCGCGUGUAGCAGUGAAAUGCGUAGAGAUGCGGAGGAACACCGAUGGCGAAGGCAGCCCCCUGGGCUAGCACUGACGCUCAGGCACGAAAGCGUGGGGAGCAAACAGG
rnacentral:rRNA from 1 species